rnacentral:lncRNA from 1 species
GGGCUUGCUUUAUAGGGAGGUGGGGGAAAAGGAAGGGAUAUAGCCACUGCUGCUUUUGGAAUACUGAAUGAGAACUUUAUUGUCAGUGUCCCCAUGUUCGGACCUAGAAGUGUGCAAGAUAAUCCCAGGAUUCUUGAGAGGUUUGAAUUAAGAACUACUUUCAUUAGUUUAGGGCUUCUGACUCAAGGUCCUUUUUUCCUCUUUGCUUAGAGACCUAACAGACCAUGGGUAGGGAGAAAGAUUUCCUCUAACUCCUGCUUCAGAGGGCGUUGCUAUUGCCUGAAGCUAAUCAAAGUUUCAUGUUGAUGAAGAUCUAAAGCAUCUGUGAGUGGCCUGCCUUAAAAUCUUAGCCGCCUGAGGCAGCCCUUGCUCACUCCACAAGGAACCACCCAGUAGUGGGAGUUUAAGGGCAGUUGGCAAAUCCGUGUGGGACCUGAGGAUCUUGAGAUCUCUUCUUUCCAGGAGCCCUGAUCUGCAGCUUUACUCUACGAUGGAUGCGUGUUUCUUCUGAUGGUAAGGACCCCCACCUCUGGCCCGAACCUGAGGCCUGUGGGCCUCGCUUCGCCAAAGGCUGCAAGAUGAGCCAGAAUCUGACUUGCUGCUACAACUUGCUUGGCGCCCUCCUCCCUCCCCACAUGCAGAACACACACAACGGACAGGAUUUUCCAGGUGUCUUCGACCUGUUUGUCUCCAUUUUCCUCCAUGAGUCAAAGGUUUUUCAUUUUGUUUUUCUGCGCUUUUAUCCCCGUGUCCUCUUUCAUUCCUUCACUUUUCUUUUCCCAUUUCCCCCUAGUUCCGCUGAGACUUCCGACCCCCAACCCUGUGCCCCUGGGCCUGGUGCCAUAAAAGUGAGCUAGAGUUGGACGGUUCAAACCGGUGUGUUGUAAAGCUG